GGCACUAGGAAAACUGGAGCCAGGGCCUCCACAGGGAACUCCCAGGCAGGUGAAGUCCUGGUCUGAACCUCAGGCUGGCUGUUGACUGCAGGUCUCCAGUACUGCACGGAUCAUUUUGAUUCAGUUCAAGGAAUCUGAGUAGGGGAGCCUUGGAGAAGAGCAAGAAUCUCUUUCUGACCUGGGUUUACCUCUUCACCAGAGAUGCUAUGAGCUCAGUGCCAUCAUCCGUGUGUUGUGGAAGGGACUGUGAGGAUUAAAUGUGGUUCAGCUGUCUUCCACUACUAUGAAAAUGUAUUCAUAUGGCAGGAGUAAGCUGUCAAGAAGCAAUGAGCUGAAAACCAAAAGGACAACUCAUUAUGACAGAUUUGGACACUCUUCUUUUGUACAAGUCUUAGCCAAAGGGCUGUGCUACUCUAUAUUCCGGGAGAUCAGCCAGUCUAUGAAGCUCCUCAAAAUGCACAGCACCACUGACUUAACUUGUUAAUGAACUGGAACUUCACACCUGCUCCAGCAGUCCCCAAGAGGCCCUGUGAAGUAGAAACACAGCUGAAACAGCCUAGGGAUUGCUGGCUGAUUUUUAAAUCCUCAGCUUUCGUGUUGGUCACACAUAUAUUCACACUCCCAAAUGAAAUAUGUCUUUGUGCAAGAGCACAGAGGGUGAGUGAAGCUGGCAGCUUGGCUCACAGAUGCUUUUGUGCUCCUGUGCACACACUCCCACCUUUAAUUGUUAUUUAAAUCCAGAAAGGCAUGCAUUUGUGACUCUCCCUAUGUAUUAGUAGUGAAAUACGAGUGUAGACCUAGCAACUCUGAGUUAGUCUAUAGGUGGCCAGGUAGAAAAUUUUUGGCUUGAAGGCUGGGGAGUACUCAUGUGCACACAUCCAGCCUGUGUAUACACCAGCUCUGAUGCCUCUGUUUGCCAAAUAAUAUGCUUUCUCUUGGUGUUACUUAAAUGGAUCAAGAUUUAUGUUCAUUACUAAGAAUUUCUCUAACUGCUCAGUAUUUAAAAUAUUUAAUCUCAUUAAGAAUGUAUAUAUAUUUUAUAGCUUAUACAUAAGACUUUAGAAUAAGUAAUAUUCUAAAAAGUUUC